GGGCAACAUUCUGCAGAAGAAGAUUAAAAAAUAGCUUCGUGGAAGUGACAAAUUUCUCUUUGCUUUUCCAUUUACAGAGGAAAGAAAACAAAAAACUCACUUUAUAUUCUUGUUGCAUGGGAAACAUUAAAAAGCCAUCUCACCUCCUGCAACUAGCUCUAAUUAGUGGGCAAGCCAGAGAUCUGGCAGAAGUAGUAAAGCCAUGACCUGGGCUUUCUGCACCACAAAUCAGAGUCGUGCCACAUUGAAAGCCCCGAGUGCGUUUUGCUUUUGAUCCCAUAGGCUUCAUAAUUAACAGCUUGAGAGGAAAUGGGUGCAGCAAGGGAACACAGGACUUCACUUCGGUAAAUGCUUCAGCAUUAGCAGCUCUCGGGGAUGGGGAUGCACAGAAAUGCAGCCAGGAGCUGAAGUCCCAUGCAGAGUAGUGCCACAGUUCACCUCUGCGGUCACUCCCAGUGCUCCUCACCUCCUUCUGGAGCCUUCUAAAGGCACUGAGCUUCCAGCAGUACUGAAUAACAACUCUGUGCCUAAUUAAAGACUAGAUCCAGAAAGGAAAGGAUAUGGUAGGGUAGGGUAGAGUGGGUUGGGUUGGAAUAGAAUAGAAUAGAACAGAACAGAACAGAACAGAACAGGUCAAAGCUUGGACUUAUCCAAGCAAUUGCAAAAGAAUGGUGGGAAUUUCCUAGAGCCCAUGCAGAAGAAAGCAAUUUCAUUACAGUCAGUAAGUAAUAAAGUGCUAUCUCAGCCAGAAGUAUGGACCAGAAUAGGCUGAGAGGAGCUCUGCUUCUGUGUCCUGCACAUCUUUUGGGUGUAUCUGCGUUAGCAGUGUAUUUUCCUUUUUUAUUUCCUGCAUCCUUCUUUCUUGCAGUCGUCAGCUGUAUUCCAUUUAGCUUUUGCAUUUCUCUGUUAUUGCCCAACAACGUAAAUGAGACUGCCAGCCUGUGGAGCUCCUGACAUCUAAUUGAGCCCUAUAGUUACUAUACUAUAGAAUCCCUCCUCAGCUCUCAAACCAGAGCAAAAUUGAGCCAGAUAUCGUGAGAUCGCUUGGAAAAUCUCAUUGCCCGUUGGAGGUUACAUGGAGCUUAAAAUCAUCUGCUUCAUCAUUGAUGAGAAGGGGGAAAGAAAAGGGAAUUAUUUUAAUCUGUGUAUCCUUGUAAGGCUUUUGACAAGCAGUCAAACCACCACGCUAAUCCCUAAUCCCCCGAUAAUCAUCACCCAGCAACUUUAAAACGUGGUCUCCAAGAAUUGCAAGAGGAGCCAACCGAAAAGAGUCCACACAUCAGAGGGCUCUUAUUAUUAUGUUUUAUUAGUAUUAGCCUUACCAGUGUUAUUACUAUUUUUUAAAGCACGCCUCCGGCACGUCUCAUGGAAACCUCUUCCCCAUCUGCUCUGCAUCCAGAGUGGCAGGAAAAGGGGCAAAGUCAAUCACCCAACGCAGAACAAUGUUGAAGGUGACUUUAAUAAAAUGAGAGUAAUUCUUCCUUUAAAAAAUUACAUCGUUUGCCACACAUUUUAAAGCAGAGAAUGCACUGCAUAACUCCUAACCACCAAGCGAGCCAGGAAUACUGUAUCCCUUUAUUCUCUGAGUUUAAUAGUUAUAAUUAGAACCUUUCCUAUAUGGUUUCUGUAUCUACGUGUAAUUCUGAAAAAAAUCCCUCUUGUCUUUCCCAAUAAACUGA
ensembl:lncRNA